rnacentral:rRNA from 1 species
AGAGUUUGAUCAUGGCUCAGAGCGAACGCUGGCGGCAGGCCUAACACAUGCAAGUCGAACGCCCCUUCGGGGGAGUGGCGGACGGGUGAGUAACGCGUGGGAACGUGCCCUUUGGUACGGAACAACUGAGGGAAACUUCAGCUAAUACCGUAUGUGCCCCCCUUCUUAGCGGGAGGGGUGGGAAAGAUUUAUCGCCAUUGGAGCGGCCCGCGUUGGAUUAGCUAGUUGGUGGGGUAAAGGCCCACCAAGGCUACGAUCCAUAGCUGGUCUGAGAGGAUGAUCAGCCACACUGGGACUGAGACACGGCCCAGACUCCUACGGGAGGCAGCAGUGGGGAAUCUUGCGCAAUGGGCGAAAGCCUGACGCAGCCAUGCCGCGUGUAUGAUGAAGGUCUUAGGAUUGUAAAAUACUUUCACCGGGGAAGAUAAUGACGGUACCCGGGAGAAGAAGCCCCGGCUAACUUCGUGCCAGCAGCCGCGGUA